rnacentral:misc_RNA from 1 species
GAUGAAGAACGCAGCGAAAUGCGAAACGUAAUGUGAAUUGCAGAAUUCAGUGAAUCAUCGAAUCUUUGAACGCAUAUUGCGCUCUCUGGUAUUCCGGAGAGCAUGCUUGUUUGAGUAUCAGUAAACACCUCAACUUCCAUAUCUUUUUUGAAAUGGGAGUUGGACUUGAGUGAUCCCAACGCUUUUCCUCACCGAAAAGUGGCGGGUUACUUGAAAUGCAGGUGCAGCUGGACUUUUCUCUGAGCUAUAAGCAUAUCUAUUUAGUCUGCCUAAAAAACAGAUUAUUACCUUUGCUGCAGCUAACAUAAAGGAGAUUAGUUCUUGUGCUGACUGAUGCAGGAUUCACAAAGACGGCUUCGGCCGACUUUGUAAACUCGAUCUCAAAUCAAGUAAGACUACCCGCUGAACUUAAGCAUAUCAAUAAGCGGAGGA